GUAAGGCACUCUGGAGAGACCUUUUCAUUAAGGCGCCGAAGGGGAAACGCGCUGUGCUGCGCCAUCAGGCCAGUCCAAAGCGCGCUACAACUCUCAGGCAAAAGGACAGAGGGCGACAA
rnacentral:ncRNA from 2 species